GAGAAGAGGUAAAAUGAUCUUUAUUUGCAAUUUAUAUAAUUGUGCACUUGAAAACUCCAAAGAACAACCAGAAAACUAUUAAAAUUCAUAAAAUAAUUAGAUAAGGCACUGGUUACAAUAUUUGUAAUUCAAAUCAGGAUGUUUCCUAUGUACAAUCAGAAAACAUAAUGGAGGUAAACAUUUCAUUCACAAAAGCAUUAACAGAUGACAUGCUUUGGAAUAAACACUAAGAGACCUACCUGAAGAAAAUUUGAAAAUGCCACUGAAAUACAAAACACUCGCAUAUACAUGGAUAGGAAGAUUCAAAAUUAUAAAGAUGUCACUUCUCCCUAAAUUAAUCUAGAGACUCAGUAUGAUUUCAAUCCAAAUGCCAACUCUCUGGGGGGCUGAUAUGAAAUUGUCAUACAACUUGAAUAAUAAACAUGAGAAUACAGUUGGCCCUUUGGUAAAAGAUUGUCAUAAAAUCAUUCAAAAUACAACUUGAAUAUAACUGUGAGAAUAUAGUCAGCCCUUCAUAUCCAUGGGUUCUGCAUCCAUGGAUUCAACAAAGGAGGGAUAAAAAAUACUUCAAAAAGACUGUGUCUGUACUGAACAUGUACAGACUUUUAAAAAUGUCAUUAUUUCCUAAACAAUACAGUAUAACUAUUUACAUAGUAUUAGAUAGUCUCAUCUAAGUAAUCUAGAGAUGAUUUAAAACAUACAGGAGGAUGUGCAUAGGUUAUAUGUGAAUUCUAUACCAUUUUAUACCAGGGACUUGAGCGUCUGUGGAUUUUGGUAUAUGAGAGAGGUCCUAGGACCGGUUCCCCACAGACCAAGGGAUGAGAGUACUUUGGAAAAACCUGAGACAGAAGAAUGAGACCAGCCCUACCAGUUAUUAAAUUUCGAAACUACAGUUAACCAAAAUAGCUUGGUACUGAACAGAAAUAGAAAUAUCAGUGGCAUUUCAAAUCAGUGGGGGAAAAGGAUGAUUCAAAAUUGUUGUGAAAAUUUGCUAAUUAUUUGUGGGGAAAUUGCAUUCUGACAUCAUCACUUACAUUUUUUUUUUGAGAUGGAGUCUCACUGUCUCGCCCAGGCUGGAGUGCAAUGGCACGAUCUCGGCUUGCUGCAGCCUCCGCCUCAGCCUCCCAAGUAGCUGGGAUUACAGGCACCCGCCAUCAUGCCCAGCUAAUUUUUGUACUUUUGUAGAGAUGGGAAGAUUGCUUGAGCCCAGGAGUUCAAGAUCAACCUGGGCAACAAAGUGAACACCACCCCCCACAACCUCUGCCCUGUAUGUAUAGAAAAAUUUAAAAAUUAGCCAGGCAGGAGGAUCCCUUGGGCCAGGCCAGGGAGGUUGAGGCUACAAUGAGGCAUGAUAGCACCAUCGCACUCCAGCCUGGGCGAUACAGUGAGAUCCUGGCUCAAAAAACAAACCAACCAACAAACAAAAAUGAGAACAACCUAGAAGCUAUUUUUUCACAGAGAAGAUUAGUAACAAUGAAUAUUAUUACUAAUAAGAUGACUUUUUUUUGAGACAGGGUCUCGCUCUGUCCCCCAGGCUAGAGUGCAGUGGUGCUGUCAUGGCUCACUACAGCCUCAACCUCCUGGGCUCAAGCAAUCCUCCUGCCUCAGCCUCCCGAGUAGCUGGGACUUACAGGUGUGCGCCACCACGCCCGGCUAAUUUUUCUAUUUUUUGUAAAGACGGGGGUCUACCUAUGCUAUUCAGGCUGGUCUCGAACUCCUGGGCUUAAGCAAUCCACUCUCCUUAGCCUGCCAAAGUGUUGGGAUUACAGACUUGAGCCACUGUGCUUGGCAAGGCUACUCUUAAUUAAACAGUGAAUGAAUACAGGUUUAUAAGCAUUCAUGUAAACAGGUAUUUUCCUAUACUGUUGGAGAGAACUUAAAAAUGAUAUAACCCUCCUGAUGAGCAACUGGUAAUGCUUAAAUUUAAAAUGUAAUUUGGCAGAGCAAUUUCUAAAAAUACAUCCCAUAGAUA
rnacentral:lncRNA from 1 species